rnacentral:rRNA from 1 species
UGGGGAAUUUUGGACAAUGGGCGCAAGCCUGAUCCAGCCAUGCCGCGUGCGGGAAGAAGGCCUUCGGGUUGUAAACCGCUUUUGUCAGGGAAGAAAAGGUUCUGGCUAAUACCUGGGACUCAUGACGGUACCUGAAGAAUAAGCACCGGCUAACUACGUGCCAGCAGCCGCGGUAAUACGUAGGGUGCAAGCGUUAAUCGGAAUUACUGGGCGUAAAGCGUGCGCAGGCGGUUAUGCAAGACAGAGGUGAAAUCCCCGGGCUCAACCUGGGAACUGCCUUUGUGACUGCAUGUCUAGAGUACGGUAGAGGGGGAUGGAAUUCCGCGUGUAGCAGUGAAAUGCGUAGAUAUGCGGAGGAACACCGAUGGCGAAGGCAAUCCCCUGGACCUGUACUGACGCUCAUGCACGAAAGCGUGGGGAGCAAACAGG